rnacentral:rRNA from 1 species
GGGCCCUUCGGGGUCAGUGGCAGACGGGUGAGUAACGCGUGGGAACGUGCCCUUCAGUUCGGAAUAACCCAGGGAAACUUGGGCUAAUACCGGAUACGUGCGAGAGCAGAAAGAUUUAUCGCUGAAGGAUCGGCCCGCGUCUGAUUAGCUAGUUGGUAGGGUAAUGGCCUACCAAGGCGACGAUCAGUAGCUGGUCUGAGAGGAUGAUCAGCCACAUUGGGACUGAGACACGGCCCAAACUCCUACGGGAGGCAGCAGUGGGGAAUAUUGGACAAUGGGCGCAAGCCUGAUCCAGCCAUGCCGCGUGAGUGAUGAAGGCCUUAGGGUUGUAAAGCUCUUUCGUCCGGGACGAUAAUGACGGUACCGGAAGAAGAAGCCCCGGCUAACUUCGUGCCAGCAGCCGCGGUAAUACGAAGGGGGCUAGCGUUGUUCGGAAUCACUGGGCGUAAAGGGCGCGUAGGCGGCUUUGUAAGUCGGGGGUGAAAGCCUGUGGCUCAACCACAGAAUUGCCUUCGAUACUGCAUGGCUUGAGACCGGAAGAGGUUAGUGGAACUGCGAGUGUAGAGGUGAAAUUCGUAGAUAUUCGCAAGAACACCAGUGGCGAAGGCGGCUGACUGGUCCGGUUCUGACGCUGAGGCGCGAAAGCGUGGGGAGCAAACAGGAUUAGAUACCCUGGUAGUCCACGCCGUAACGAUGAAUGCCAGCCGUUGGCGAGCUUGCUCGUCAGUGGCGCAGCUAACGCUUUAAGCAUUCCGCCUGGGGAGUACGGUCGCAAGAUUAAAACUCAAAGGAAUUGAC